AACGAACGCUGGCGGCAUGCCUAACACAUGCAAGUCGAACGAGACCUUCGGGUCUAGUGGCGCACGGGUGCGUAACGCGUGGGAACCUGCCCUUAGGUUCGGAAUAACUCCCCGAAAGGGGUGCUAAUACCGGAGAAUGUCUUCGGACCAAAGAUUUAUCGCUUUUGGAUGGGCCCGCGUUGGAUUAGCUAGUUGGUAGGGUAAAAGCCUACCAAGGCGACGAUCCAUAGCUGGUCUGAGAGGAUGAUCAGCCACACUGGGACUGAGACACGGCCCAGACUCCUACGGGAGGGAGCAGUGGGGAAUAUUGGACAAUGGGCGAAAGCCUGAUCCAGCAAUGCCGCGUGAGUGAUGAAGGCCUUAGGGUUGUAAAGCUCUUUUACCCGGGAUGAUAAUGACAGUACCGGGAGAAUAAGCUCCGGCUAACUCCGUG
rnacentral:rRNA from 1 species